rnacentral:rRNA from 1 species
AUUGAACGCUGGCGGCAGGCCUAACACAUGCAAGUCGCGCGAGCGGCGGACGGGUGAGUAAUGUAUUGGGCUCUGCCUGAUGGCGCGGUCUCACUACUGGAACCGGUAGCUCAUCCCGCAUACCAUCAGAUGCACCCAUAUGGGAUUAGCUAGUAGGUGAGGUAACGGCUUACCUAGGCGACGAUCCCUAGCUGGUCUGAGAGGAUGAUCAUCCACACUGGGACUGAGACACGGACCAGACGGAUACGGGAGGCAGCAGUGGGGAAUAUUGCACAAUGGGCGAAAGCCUGAUGCAGCCAUGCGGCGUGUAUGAAGAAGGCCUUGGGGUGGGAGAGGACUUUCAGUCGGGAGGCGGGAGCGACAGAAGAAGCACCGGCUAACUCCGUGCCAGCAGCCGCGGUAAUAC